rnacentral:rRNA from 1 species
CCUACGGGAGGCAGCAGUGGGGAAUUUUGGACAAUGGGCGAAAGCCUGAUCCAGCCAUGCCGCGUGAGUGAAGAAGGCCUUCCUCAGUCCAAGCUCUUUUAGUCGGAAAGAAAGAGUUGCAAUGAAUAANGUGAUUAUGACG